rnacentral:sRNA from 1 species
AGAGACCCUCAAGUUAAAUUAGUCCCAGACUCAAUCACCAUUUACGAGAGCUAACCUAACAAGCAUUACGAAUCAACAAGUUAAAGCCAAAACGCUCCAUGCAACCAAUACCUUGGUACAGGGCCACAAAUCUCUGGAAUUAGUGGUUCAGACAUUUCAUCGAACACAUUUUGGGCGCAGAAAUGUGUAGGCUCAAAUUCCAGUUGAUCAGAAAGCAAUAUGCAUUAAGAACAACUAAUCCAGAAG